UUACAGUCCAGAAAGUCGCCUUCGCCACUGGUGUUCCUCCUAAUAUCUACGCAUUUCACCGCUACACUAGGAAUUCCACUUUCCUCUCCUGCACUCAAGUCCCACAGUUUCAAAAGCUUACUACGGUUAAGCCGUAGCCUUUCACUUCUGACUUACAGGACCACCUACGCACCCUUUACGCCCAGUGAUUCCGGAUAACGCUUGCCCCUUACGUAUUACCGCGGCUGCUGGCACGUAAUUAGCCGGGGCUUAUUCCUUGGGUACCGUCAUUUAUUCUUCCCCAAGAAAAGAGUUUUACGACCCGAAGCCUUCAUCACUCACGCGGCGUUGCUGCAUCAGGCUUGCGCCCAUUGUGCAAUAUUCCCCGUUUCCC
rnacentral:rRNA from 1 species